ACAGCCGACCCACUCACGCACGUCUCCAACCCACUCUCGAUCCCAUCUCUCUCCCGAAUACUCACGCACGUCCCCAACCCCCUCUCGAUCCCAUCUCUCUCCCGAUUUUUUUGGCAACGCCAGCCUCCUCUUUCAUCUCCCAUGGCGACCUAGGAAAGGGUAGGUAGAUCCAUCUCGCCCACUUCUUCCUGCCGUCGUCAUCGUCCCCCACUCGACCAUGCUAGCUUCCGCGAUUUGGAUGCCUCCCCUAUGAGGAAUCGGCGCGUCGUACUCAUCGCAGGUGGCGGCGGCCAUUGGCAAGGGCUCGUUUGGAAGAGCAGGUGGCGUACAAGGUCGCGUCGAGGUCCAACAACCGGAACAUCGGCUCCGUAGGAACGCCGUCACAGGUGCGUCGAUCUCAAUCUUCUCCUCCAUUGCCGUUGUCUUCGUUACCUGUGUAUCUCAAUCUCAAUCUUCUCACACUCAUGAAUUUUCAGUACGAUGGGUUUUUCUAAUUCAGAUCUUGCUUGCCUUAUCGUGAUAUCUUCUUUGCCAUGGUAAGCACACUAGCACAGCAUGGUUCGUUCGCCCUCAUAACUUUUGUUAUGACAUUAGUGUUGUUCAGAAAGCAGGAGAAAAUACCGGAGUACUCUUCUGUAGUGUAUUGUUGUUCAACUGAAACAUAUGCAGUGGGUUUGAUGGCCGCAGGAUAAUUAAAGCCAAGGUAAAGACUAUACAUUCACAAUUCCUAUAGUUAUAAACAAGAAAAAAAGAUAUAGGCAAGUACUAUUGUUUUAGAUGCCGGUAAAAUGGACUAGAAUUUCAUGAGCUGUUUAGUCAGCAUGCUACCACUCAUCAGUGGUGGAGGACGAAAUUUUUUCGAGGUAGGGCAGCCGAGACUACAGCACGUGAGACUUCCUCGCUGCUAGCCUCUAGCGCCAGGGCGUGCGUCUCCACCGUCCACUUUGGCAUCCGGCACCCGCACUCCUGCUGCCUGCUGCUAGCCGCUAGCCCGCUGGGGUUCGCGCGUGGCAUGUGCCUGGGCUCGUGGUUUGCGUUCUGCUGUUCCUGUUCGUACCUUCGUAAUGACUGGUUUGGUACGUCAUGUGUGUGUGUCGUAUGUGCAGCUAUCAGGCAGGGGCAUGACCGAAGUCACGUCCCAACAUCAAAGAGAACUCUUCCUUUCAGUGACUUAUGCGUGUUUGCCGGAAAUAAAGGUUGGGCGGAUACCCUGCCUCGCCGUACCGAGUGCUCCGCCGGUGCUACCACUAAUAUCCUUGUACUGUACUAGCUUCAGUAUUUCUCCCACUUUUUCUGCAACAUGUGUAAAUGUAGUUACAAUUGAGAAAGCGAGAAAUAUUUGUUUUGUGAAAAAAAUUGCCAUAUCUUUGUUAUCUCGAUAUCAAAUUAUUGCAAAUUAUUGCUGAAUGCAUCUUCAUUUGAGAAAAUGUGGACGGCCACAGGAGAAACAUAAACUUUGUCAUAUAAAGUUGGAAGUGUUUAACUGCUCAAACUUUCUACUUUGCAAACAAAUAAAGUGAUGCAAGGUAUUCAGAUGUCUGUGGUUGAUGAUAAUUUACAUUGAGUUCAGCAUUAAAUUAGUAUUUAAUUGUUGCCUUUGUGCUUGCUACUGUUUCAUGGUUUCAGAAACAUGUCUACUGUGGACUGUUUCAUAGCUUAUCUUUUCCAAUCCGUUAUCUACAUAUAUCUACCUCAUGUUAAUGCACUAUCAAAAUUGUCUCAUUAAUUCUUGUCACUUUCUCAAAUAAAAAUUAUCCUUUGCCUGGCUUGCCCCUAAUUUUAUAAAUCCCGUCAGAAUUCUAAAUCUUAUUUCUAUGCAGAACUCGAAGAAUUCCAAGAAAGAUCAUUGCUUCAAGGUUGGCAGUGGCCACAACAUAAUUGACAUCAAAACUAGAUCUGGGUCCUACAUAUCCGGUCUUGCUUGGUUAUAUUUCUUUUUUCCAUUCUGUUAUAUACCUACAUAUAUGAUUGGUUUGCUACAUGAGGUAGCGACGAAAUCACCUGAUACAAGGUCAAACUAAGUUUCUAUUCCUACAGUACUAGCUACUAGCCAACAAUGUGUUUACGACUCUCAUCACAGAGUGAUUAAUCAUAGUAAACUAUGUGCCAGCUUAUGUGAGUCCAAUCGAUCUAUCUUUUAUUGGCAUUACCCGUUGUGUAGAUAGGGAUUAUCCACACCAACCUUCAUAGACUCCUAAAACUAUCCUAGGAUUAUCAGUUUCUCAAACAAUUGAAGUUGCAGCCUAUGUGAAAUCUUUAUUGCCUGAUAUGGUAGCACUAACUAUUUUUCUUUAUUUUAUGAAUCACAGUCUAAAGGCUCAAAAGCAGUUGAUCAUUACCUGUCACAGUAAUACAAAACACCUAUCUAAUAUUGGGGAAAAUGUAUGUAUUUUCUCAAGCAGCUAUGUGGAUAUAGGUCUUGCUGAAAAUUUGUAACUGAGCUUGUAAUCUUAACAAUUGUUGUGGAAUAGUCAGCUGAUAUGUUCAUAUGUGAAUCAUCCACCCAAUUAGCUACAAUGCUUUGCAAGGCCAGUACCAUACCAACAUUGGAGCCAAAAGAUCAUGUGGUAACAUCAAAUGCUAUCACCUUUCACAUGACAUUUUUUUUCAUUCGAGUAUGAUUAUCUGUGGAUCUAGAUUGGUUAAGUAUGUGCUUGGUAGAUUGGUCAUUAUUGAAACUACAUAACAUUGUUUUGGGCCUUUGCAUUGCCCUUACUCUUGGAAUGGCCUGACUUGAUAUUACUAUUAUACUACUUUGCUUGUAUUGUUGUCUUGUGUGCUCGUAUUCUAUAACAUGGUCUUAAGAAGAGGAAGAGAUUAUGUGGCCAGAAAAAAUCAAUUUUCUUAAUAUGUAAAACCACAUACAAAGCCAGAAAUUGUUUCAAGAACUUCCCUACAUUUGUAAGAUGCUUCCAAUAGUCACUGUUGAUGAUAUAACCGCAAACUGCUAUGGAAUCUGGUAUCAUACUGAGGUUGGAUGAUAUUUAAUGACCAUUUUUUCCUUCUAUAUUGUUGAUGAUCUCUUAAUGCACAAUAUCAGAAUUUUAUUUUUCGCCAUCUUCACCUAUUUCCUAUUGUUUCUAUUCAAUGUACGUUAAUGCAAAUUAAUUCGAAGUAAAUUAUUCUUUGUAGCCAAAUUGGACACAUACAUACGGUAUGAAAAUUUACGCAGAAGAGAAGGGCCCAUCACUCCAGAGUCUAGGAAAGUUGGGUAAAUGUAAUCGUUUUAUGGAAAAAUGCAAAACCAGUCAGCCAUCAACCCUAACAGAGGGGCUAGCGCUCUUUAUCUCUAACGUAUAAUCCUUUUAUUUGGCGUUGUUGCCAUGCCGCUAUAGUUGGUCUUUUGCUGUUCUCCUUUUCCUGUAAUCAGUUGUACUUGGUUUUCUCUAUCCUCAUAUCAAUGAAAAUGCAGCGUUGAUUAUGUUUCAUCAA